ensembl:lncRNA
UGCUGGCUGAGCCCGCGGCCACGGCCACGGCGGCGGCGGCGGCGGCGGGAGCUGGAUGCUCUCGGGCUCCGUGCGGCUCCAGCCGUUUUCCUCCCUGGUGCAGCGCCAACGCGUCCCCGCGGGAGAGGGAAACCCACGGCGCGUAGCUGGAGAACUCUGCUGUCUCAGUCUAGGGGCUCCUCGGGAGAAAGCCAGGUGCCCCCAGGUGACGCCGGUGUCCCAAAACGGCCCCGGCACGCCGGCCGCCAGCUUGCACCUUUUGGGAACCGCGACCGCCGAGCGUCUUCCAGCGCCUGCAAGCAGGGCGCGCGGGGGAGAGUGGUGUCCACCUCGUGGGCAGGGGCGACGAGGACACCGAGGAUGGACGCACGGAGCUGGCGCGCGGGGUGUUGCUGUCUCCUCCUUCUGGCUCUGGUUGGGUCUCCUCGGAGCGAGGGAAUGCAGAGCUGCGAAGAAGUUCGGAAACUUUUCCAGGGGCGCCUGGUGGGAGCUGUCAAGGGGCUCCCGGAUUCGCCGCGGGCAGGAUCUGAUCUUCAGGUUUGUGUAUCCAAAAAACCUACAUGUUGCAGCAGGAGGAUGGAGGAGAGAUACCAGAUUGCAGCUCGUCAAGAUAUGCAGCAAGUGCUUCAAACAUCCAGUUCAACAUUAAAGUUUUUGAUAUCGCGAAAUGCUGCAGCUUUUCAAGGUAAAUGUAUUUUGAUUUCUGAAAGUAAGGAGAAGCCUUGUUAUGCAGUUUUCCUAUUAUUAUUAUAAUGCGUCACUUGUCUGGCUUAAUUUGUCUUUGCAUACCAUUAUUCUGGUAUAAAAUGAAGUUUUAGCUUCUUUGAACCCUCAGAACUUGUUUCCGAAGUCAUCCUGAGCAUACAUGUUGAAUUGGAUUGGCCAACCCUUCUGUUA